rnacentral:tRNA from 1 species
AGCUUUAUAUUCAAUUAUGAUAUAAAAUUGCAAAUUUUAAGGUAUAAUUUAAAAUUAUUAAGGCUU